rnacentral:lncRNA from 1 species
GCAUCAUCACUUCAUUUUCACCCUUGGACCAUUGCACACCACAUACACUCUUUGCCGUGCCUUCUCCCUAGCCUAACCUGAUUCUCUAAGGUUUUUGGGGCCUAUAUAUACAUGUUUACACCCCUUGGCAAAAGGGUUCACACUCUCAUAUUCACCAUUCAUCACAGAAAUUCGUCCAUACUCACCCUAGGUAGCAAAACACA